CCCUAUGGGGUGCAGCAGGCGCGAAAACUUCGCAAUGCGGGAAACCGUGACGAGGGAAUUCCGAGUGCUCAUACAAUGUAUGGGCUUUUCUGAUGUGUAAAAAGCAUUAGGAAUAAGGGCUGGGUAAGACCGGUGCCAGCCGCCGCGGUAAUACCGGCAGCUCUAGUGGUAGCCACUUUUAUUGGGCCUAAAGCGUCCGUAGCCGGUCAGGUAAAUCCUUGGGUAAAUCGUACAGCUUAACUGUGCGGCUUCCGGGGAGACUGCUUGACUUGGGACCGGGAGAGGUUGGAGGUACUCCUGGGGUAGGGGUGAAAUCCUGUAAUCCUAGGUGGACCACCGGUGGCGAAGGCGUCCAACCAGAGCGGCUCCGACGGUGAGGGACGAAGGCUAGGGGCGCAAACCGGAUUAGAUACCCGGGUAGUCCUAGCUGUAAACGCUGCAGACUUGGUGUUGGAGAUCCUACGAGGGUGUCCAGUGCCGGAGAGAAGUUGUUAAGUUUGCCGCCUGGGAAGUAUGGCCGCAAGGCUGAAACUUAAAGGAAUUGGCGGGGGAGCACCGCAACGGGAGGAGCGUGCGGUUUAAUUGGAUUCAACGCCGGAAAACUCACCGGGGGCGACUGUUACAUGAAGGCCAGUUUAAAGACUUUGCCUGAUUUUCAGAGAGGAAGUGCAUGGCC
rnacentral:rRNA from 1 species